rnacentral:rRNA from 1 species
AAUCAACGCUGGCGGCGUGCCUCAGACAUGCAAGUCGAACGAUUAAGACUUCCUUCGGGAAGUGUAUAAAGUGGCGCACGGGUGAGUAACACGUAAGUAAUCUACCUUCGAGUGGGGAAUAACAUCGGGAAACCGAUGCUAAUACCGCAUAAUGCAGCGGCAUCGCAAGAUGACAGUUGUUAAAGGAGCAAUUCGCUUGAAGAGGAGCUUGCGGCAGAUUAGCUAGUUGGUAAGGUAAUGGCUUACCAAGGCUACGAUCUGUAUCCGGUCUAAGAGGACGGUAGGACACACUGACACUGAAUAACGGGUCAGACUCCUACGGGAGGCAGCAGUCGGGAAUUUUGGGCAAUGGGCGAAAGCCUGGCCCAGCAACGCCGCGUGAGGGAUGAAGUAUUUCGGUAUGUAAACCUCGAAAGAAUGGGAAGAAUAAAUGACGGUACCAUUUAUAAGCUCCGGCUAACUACGUGCCAGCCGCCGCAGUAAAAC